rnacentral:lncRNA from 1 species
UCCCCUCCCCUCCCCUCUCCCAUCCAGAGGCGCCGCUCCCUCUCCCCCAAUCCCUCCUGUCUCGCUGGCACGGCGCGGAGAAGGCGGGUGCGGCGGAGACGGCGGCGACAGCCGUCCCUUCCCCUCUCCCUCUCCCUAUCGACCUCGACGGCCGUCCAUCCCUCUCGGCGACGGCGCCCUCUCCACCCUCAAGAUCUGGCGGCGCCGUCCCAACGGCGGCGUCGACAGCGAUGACGGUGUCGGCGGCAUCCGCGGGUGGAUCCAUCGGCCGUGGUGGCAACCGCGGGCGGAUCUGGCAGCGGCGGCUCCCUCCACCGCCUCUUUUCUCGAUCCCUCCGGUGGCGGUGGUGGCGUCGGCAACGGCCGCGGAUGGAUCUGGCGGCGGUGGCGACGACCAAGGGGAUCUGACGAGCGCCCCGUGGACGGAUCCGGUGGUGGCGACGGCGUUGGUGGCUUCCCGGUGAUGUUUUUAUUUUUCUUCCGGUUCUUUUUCUCAAUCGCUUGAUUCUCAUCCUAUAAUCAACAUAAUAAUCGCUUUAUUUGCCUUAUGAUGCACUCGGAAGAUAAGAUAGAUAGACUGAAUCUGACUUUUCUUUUUUUGUUUUCAUGUUUUUUCACCCUUUUUCGUUAUUACGAACGACGGAAACGUCUUUAAUUUUUUUUACCUCGUCACAUAU